rnacentral:rRNA from 1 species
ACCGGAGCUUGCUCCACCGGAAAAAGAGGAGUGGCGAACGGGUGAGUAACACGUGGGUAACCUGCCCAUCAGAAGGGGAUAACACUUGGAAACAGGUGCUAAUACCGUAUAACAAUCGAAACCGCAUGGUUUUGAUUUGAAAGGCGCUUUCGGGUGUCGCUGAUGGAUGGACCCGCGGUGCAUUAGCUAGUUGGUGAGGUAACGGCUCACCAAGGCCACGAUGCAUAGCCGACCUGAGAGGGUGAACGGCCACAUUGGGACUGAGACACGGCCCAAACUCCUACGGGAGGCAGCAGUAGGGAAUCUUCGGCAAUGGACGAAAGUCUGACCGAGCAACGCCGCGUGAGUGAAGAAGGUUUUCGGAUCGUAAAACUCUGUUGUUAGAGAAGAACAAGGAUGAGAGUAACUGUUCAUCCCUUGACGGUAUCUAACCAGAAAGCCACGGCUAACUACGUGCCAGCAGCCGCGGUAAUACGUAGGUGGCAAGCGUUGUCCGGAUUUAUUGGGCGUAAAGCGAGCGCAGGCGGUUUCUUAAGUCUGAUGUGAAAGCCCCCGGCUCAACCGGGGAGGGUCAUUGGAAACUGGGAGACUUGAGUGCAGAAGAGGAGAGUGGAAUUCCAUGUGUAGCGGUGAAAUGCGUAGAUAUAUGGAGGAACACCAGUGGCGAAGGCGGCUCUCUGGUCUGUACUGACGCUGAGGCUCGAAAAGCGUGGGGA